AGACAAUUUUUUUUAAUUCCAAGUCACAUCUGCCUCCGAGUGGCGCAGUGGUAAAGUGCUCACCCUAUCAUCCAGAGAGCGAGAGUUUGAUUCCCAGACCUACCUCCAAAACCAAAAAGGCCUUGGCUUCAUCUUUGAUUAAGGCUUUUCCGUGCUUGAAAGACACAUCAGACAGUGGAUGCGAUAUAUGGUACACCCAAGGCCGGAAUCACCAUCCAGCCACUGGAUUUCUUGAAGAGAGGCUCAGGAACAUUCGAAAGAAGCGGAGAUCUGUGAGCAGGCCGCAAAGACAAGAAGAUAAAGAGCCUGA